AACAGCUCUGAUCGCUCGCUGCUCAGCUGUUCAGGGAUCAACAGUGUGUGUUUGUAGCUGUAAAUAUGGCGCUAAUGCUGGAGCUCACCUCCUUCUUCUUCUGCCUCAGUGAGCGUUAGGAGGAUGUGUGAGUGAAAAGCAGGAAGAACAUGUACAAACAUCAGUGUGUGUUUGAAUCAACACACACAUGUCGGAACUGGAAUCCCUGAUCGUUGACUUCCAGGCUCAGCUGUCGGAGGUGAUGGAGACCGUGGUGAAGACGGCGAUGUUUGAGGUCAGCAGGCUGGUGGAGGAGGUGGUGUUUGUGCAGACAAAGCUCCACUUACAGCUCAAAUAGAAGCCUCACAGGACGGUUCACGAGCUGGACAACUGUCAGUUUCCCUUUCCCACAGAGCUCAGGAUUAGAGGAAAACACAGAAAUCAUCUCCUCUAUCAGCGUGGCCGACUCAGGAUGGAAAGUCUGAGACAUUUUAUUAUCUCGUCAUGUGUGCGAUAAACCCAACAUGUGUCACCGUGGGAUAAUUCUGAUCUGACGCUCCCUGUUAGAAACCAAAGAAAACAACAAAACAAUCUAAAUCUAACGGAUUCUCCACCUUCUAAAUCCUGGAGCUGAAGGAUUUUCUUGGACAGACUGUGAGGAAGUGUGAGGGGAGGAGUCACAAUGUUACAGCUGAUCAGUGUAUGAAACCUGUAUGUGGACCAGUGGCUAAUUCUGAGGAACUAAUGUUGAUCUUGUUGUAGAAACUAAAGUCAUCCUGACGACCUUUGAACUCUUCUUCAUGAUGUUUGUUUUGCAGAAGCUGCCUCGCUCCAACAGCCUGGAUGAUGAGAACUUUGAUGUGAAAAACAUUUGUCUGAAUAAAUAUAUAUUAUAAAAUAAAAAAUAACUUGCU
rnacentral:lncRNA from 1 species